rnacentral:lncRNA from 1 species
CCAAAAUCUUGAUCACUUUUCAUCCUCUCCAUUCUCUCUUCUCUCUCUAUCCCAACCUUUCUUAUCUCUCUAGUCACCCGCGUGCCGCCACCAUCCUUGCUAGCUCCACCACACCACCGGCACCACUACCACUAGCAUGUUGAGCGAAUAUGUCGCUCGACACCGUUGCAGUAGCAUUGUUGCCGUUGUCAUCGUCGUCGCUGUGUGGUCAUCACCGUGAUGUCUGGUGAUUUUGGGAUUUGUUUUAGAUUUGACAGCAGUGGGCAUCAUGCAGUGGCGAUGAUACCGUGUCGCGACUCCCAGUCAUUGUCGUAAUGUGUAAUGAUUUUAGUGGUGGGUUUGGCGUCUGAGCACAAUAGUAAUCGUCGUGAUGUGGAGUGAUUUUAGCGAUGGGUUUGGGAUUUAAGCGCAGCGAUUAUCAUGUUUUGGAUCUAAUUUAUGAUGGUUGUGCAAUGAUUUUUGAUUUGGUUUUAUUGUGGUUGUGAAAUGAUUCUGGGGUGGGGUUUGUUGGCUGUGGUGGCGGCGGAAGAGGUGGUGUUGGUUGUGACAACGACAAUAACGGCGAUGCUGGUUGUGGCGGUGGUAGAAUUAGUGGUGGUCGUGGUGACUGCGACGGUGAUUGUAAUAAAUUUUUUUGUUGGUGGUGGAUCUGGCGCGACGAUGUGGUGGUGUUUUCUAAUUUAGGUUGAUUUUUUUGAGGUGGUGGUGGUGACGAAGGUGGUAGUGGUGCUACUGGAAACAGUGGUGAGAAGGUGGUAGCAAGUGUUAAUGAUGAUCAUAAAUUAUUUGAUUGACCGCGACAAUUAAAUUGAUUAAUCUGCGAUCAGAGAAAAAGACAAACUAUGAUCAAGAAAUAUUGUGACCUAAAUUUUUUUUUAUUUGUGAUCGAUAAUUUGAUAAUUCGUGAUUGUAUAAUAAGUUGUGAUUCAUAAUAUUUGUAAUUUGUGAUUGAUAAAUAAAUUGUGAU